rfam:Mycobacterium sp. SP-6446 contig_170, whole genome shotgun sequence.
CGCCCUCGCGCGGGAGAGUUCCGUGAUUGCCAGUCACGGACGCCGAAGGAGCAACACCUCUCCGUCAACCUCUCAGGCACCCGGACCGCGCAAGACAA